rnacentral:tRNA from 1 species
CGCUAAGAUGCUAAACAGGGUUCUAGCGUUAGCCUUUUAAGCUAAAAACUGGUGACUCCCGCCCACCCUUAGCGA